rnacentral:rRNA from 1 species
AACGAACGCUGGCGGCAGGCCUAACACAUGCAAGUCGAACGCUGUAGCAAUACAGAGUGGCAGACGGGUGAGUAACGCGUGGGAACCUUCCCAGUGGUGCGAAAUAGCUCAGGGAAACUUGAGGUGAUACCGCAUAAGCCCCUAGGGGAAAGAUUUAUCGCCAUUGGAUGGGCCCGCGUCGGAUUAGCUAGUUGGUGAGGUAAUGGCUCACCAAGGCAACGAUCCGAGCUGGUUUGAGAGAAUGACCAGCCACACU